rnacentral:tRNA from 2 species
GAGGUUCUAGCUUAAUUAAAGCGUCUGGGUUGCAUUCAGAAGAUGUGGGUUAGUAUCCUACGAAUCUUA